AAGUGUAAGUGGUCGGAUAAAACGCCACGUCCUGUGGCAUAUCCGACAUUAGGUCAUCCUGACCG
rnacentral:sRNA from 1 species